rnacentral:misc_RNA from 1 species
GAUGAAGAACGUAGCGAAAUGCGAUAAGUAAUGUGAAUUGCAGAUUUCAGUGAAUCAUCGAAUCUUUGAACGCACCUUGCGCCUUGUGGUAUUCCACAAGGCAUGCCCGUUUGAGUAUCAUUAAAUCAUCAACUCUAAAACCUUUGUGGUUUUUUUAGAGCCUGGUCUUGAGGGUUUUGCAGGCUUUUUUUUUUUCGAGUCUGCUCCCUUUAAAUGCAUUAGCGAGACUUCCCUAUGCUGAACCGUCUCUUUGACGUGAUAAUUAUCUGCGUCGAAUUUUGGUUCUCGUUGGGCUUGCUUCUAAUCGUCUGUUAAAGACAAAACGGAUUUGGGUGCAUAUAUGCGCCUUUUUCCAAAACCUUUUUUGAUCUCAAAUCGGGUAGGACUACCCGCUGAACUUAAGCAUAUCAAUAAGCGAGGA